UUUAUUAUUUUUGUACUUUUUCUACCCAAAAAUUUCAUCGCCUGCCUGGCUACGAUUAAGUUGUUUAAACAAAUGUGUUGCAAUGGUCAGAUGCAGGGGUCAGAUUCGAUGCUCUUAUGGUCCCUUCCAGGCUUCAAGUCUACUAAUUAAUGACAGCUGAGUGCAGCUGAGGGAGCAGCCUCUGGGGCGUCACCGUGCACCCAGCUCAGUCCCCAGGUUCAGCCAUCACUACUGAUCCAGGGGAACCCCCUUACACAUCCAAAGAGGCUGGCCGUGCAGGGGAUGGGGUGGAUGUGGCAGUGACCUCACAAAGGCCUGUUGCAGGACCUCAGCCUAUUGGGGGACGGCGGAGAGGAGGUGGUGACCUCACAGAGAGGCCCUGACAUCAGCCAAUCAGGACAGAGGGUCAGUGUAGGGACAACCUCAGAGGCUCCUGUGGCUCUGCAGCAGCAUGGCUCCUUCUCAAGGUCUCUCCUGGGGCACCGAGAGAGAAUUGGGAUCAAUGUAUGUGGGCACAAGGAGGAACCUGCUGGGAGUUUUCUCCUUCCCUACUGUUGAUUUUGCAGUCCCUGCUGAGAAAGCGUAAAGUGCCGAAUUUAAGUAUGAAUGACAGUUCAGAGGAUUCUCUUUCAAGUGUGGUCUGAAAAGGUCUUUGAAGCAGGAUGCAGAUGCCUUCUCCUAUGUGAAAAACUCUAAAAAUCCCUCUCCCUCAGACACAGUGAGCCACGGCAGGAUGAGGCGGGGGCUUGAUGAAUACCUGUGUUGAGCAAGAUCGAUGGCCAGUCCUUCCUUUCACUGCUUUCUCCACAUCUAGUCUGAAGCUGAUAAGAGUUCUAGUAGCUCUCAUGUAACGAAGUAGCUGCUAAGAUUGUCAAUUAACAGCCGCUGCAGGGACGGGUUUUGUGGUGUUCACUGGAAACCACAUGCAGUGCCUCUUGGCCACUGGACAAAACGUGGAAUCAAAUUCAGACCCAGCAUCAGGAAGUGCAGCUCAACCAUGAACUCUUACUGGGAUGAUGUGGUGCACAGAGGCCUCAAGCAAGCUACUAAGUGCUGUAUGGCAAGAGACAGUCGCUGGCUCAAUUGACACAGGAUGAGAAGAACAACACAGAUGACAGUAGACAUGCCAUCAGGCAUGGUUCCACAAACAUGCUGUUAACAAUAUGGAAAAUCUGUUUUUGUGGUGUGACGGGGUUGGGCCAGAUGUCCACAAGAAAGUAAUCAAAAUCAGGUAGAUUAGCCCCAUGUUAAACAAGUCCCUGUUUCCCUGGUAACCAACCAAGGUCUACCCCAGGUUAAUUAAGACACCUGGAGUCAAUCAAGAACCUGCUAGAGCUAGUUGUGACAG